CUAUAUUUUAAUGUUAACUAACGUUAACUUUGUUUUUUUAAUAUUCUUUUCUUAGACUUAGUAUUUGCAACAUCCUUGAUGAAUGCUGCUCUUCAAGAACAGCAAUCAUGCCAAUUAACAGCGGUCAAUCUAAUGGCUACAAAUUGGCAUAAUGCAUACUUAUUAUUAUAGAUAACAACUGAAAAAGAAAAAGCAAAAAUGUUUUCCGAAGAGUGAGACCAACACCGUCUCGAAAGAUCAGCGCGACUAAGCCUCGAAGUCACCAAAGAAGCUUGGACAAACCGUAGACAUGAACAAAUGGCUAAAAACCAAUUUUACGAAGAAGAAGAAGGACUGUUAUAUGGCCCUGAAAUAGCUGAAUAACAAACAAAUCAUACUACCUGGAAGAUCAAUAUCGUGCACACCAGCACAUAAAGAUUUUUGCGCAGCGGUAUAUUUAAUAAUAUGUAACUUCGGUAUUUUUAAUUAAAUCUGAACAAAAAAAACUGUACAUUUUUAAAAGAUAGGUAAAAACAUAAUGCAAAUUUUGAAUUAAUUGCAUAGUUAGUUUCGAAAAAAAAUUCCUAAAUUUUGCUGUUUUUGACCCGAAAAACCUGAAUCCCCCCUUAAUUUACACUCAUUGAUAAAUUCGUAUCAAAGCAUUUUUGUGGAUGUACUGUUUUUUGGUUAAUAUUGAGAUAUUCCUGUGACCAUAUUAUAAUAGGGUAAAGUCAGUAUAUACGUAUCUACCAAAAAUUUAAUUUAUUAAGUAUUAUUUAUUAUGUUUAAGGAAAAUAAAUUAUACCAAUAAAACUUCAUAC
rnacentral:lncRNA from 13 species